rnacentral:tRNA from 1 species
GGAAGCGUGGCCGAGUGGUUGAUAUAUCCAGUCUUGAAAACUGGCAUACAGGGGAACGUAUAGUGGGUUCGAAUCCCACCGCUUUCGCCA